CCUACGGGUGUGGCUGCAGUGGGGAAUAUUGGACAAUGGGCGAAAGCCUGAUCCAGCCAUGCCGCGUGUGUGAAGAAGGCCUUCGGGUUGUAAAGCACUUUCAGUGGGGAAGAAAGCCUUGGGGCUAAUACCCUCGAGGAAGGACAUCACCCACAGAAGAAGCACCGGCUAACUCCGUGCCAGCAGCCGCGGUAAUACGGAGGGUGCGAGCGUUAAUCGGAAUUACUGGGCGUAAAGCGCGCGUAGGCGGUCUGAUAAGCCGGUUGUGAAAGCCCCGGGCUCAACCUGGGAACGGCAUCCGGAACUGUCAGGCUAGAGUGCAGGAGAGGAAGGUAGAAUUCCCGGUGUAGCGGUGAAAUGCGUAGAGAUCGGGAGGAAUACCAGUGGCGAAGGCGGCCUUCUGGACUGACACUGACGCUGAGGUGCGAAAGCGUGGGUAGCAAACAGGAUUAAUACCCUAGUAGUC
rnacentral:rRNA from 1 species